rnacentral:lncRNA from 1 species
UUUUUUUUUGGUCCUGUUGAAUUUGGCAGAUUAUCAAGUAAUAAAGAUAUUGCAGAUUUCCUAGAUCAGCCAAAACAAAAAAGGAAAAAUUCUUAUUGGAUGGAUCCUGAUGACUUCAGUUGAUAAGAAACAACAUAUACAUAAUCAUGUAAUCCCUCUGUAAACAAACAUAAGACGUCUUAUAUUUGUUUAUAGAGGGAGUAGCUCUUACACGGACGCAAGCAAAUGUUGUGCGCUCAAAUGCUAUUAUUAUCAUCUCAUUGUAGGAUUUGUAUUUUUAUAUGCUAUUAUCUGUUGUCUCUUAUUAUCCUACAAGAAUAUGCUGCGUUUUGAAAAUUUUGAUCCCACACGAACAACCCUAGUUUGCUAUUGAAAUUUGAAUGGAUAUAUCCUAUGCCACCUACAAUAGAAUUUUCAAGAGUUCUACUAUAACCAAGAUUUUCCAGGAAUUCGCAAAAUUUUGAGAACUGAUACUUUCACUAGAGAUGUCUAGUCUCUUCUCUUGAAUAACAACCAGAUGUUGGCUUAAACUUUUGCACAGAUAUCAUACCUGGUCGUAUAAAUAUUGAAUCUGCUGAGCUUGCUGUAGAACAUGUGUUGACAUAAGAUGAUUAAGUGCUGACAUCUCUAUCAUCUUUGUCUCCGUUUCUUGGACAGUAUCAAGAAGAUUGGUCAACUCCAUCUGAGCCAAGAGUUACAGGAAAGUAAAUAAGCUGACUUAUAACAAAGUGUAUCUGAGACAACAUUAUUUUGUGUCAAUUGCCCAGGCAGUAAAAAAACACCAAUUCCCCAGUACCGUUACCAAAAGCGUGCAAUUCGCCAAAAGCACAAAACACAGUAUCAUCAGCAGAGAGAACACACCUGGAAGGUCUAAUUUGCCAUUCGGUUCAGGACAUUAUUUCUCAUUUCCUCUGUGUAUCCGUUUAUUUUACUUGCACCCCAUUUAGCCAUGUUCUAACCUAUAUGUUUCACCAUUUUGUAUUCAUUUUUGUUAAAUAAAUUCACCAGCUGAUAUAACCACAUAUUCCAACCUACCUGAGCAAUUUAACAAAUUUCAACACACAUGUCAUUCCUUUUUAAGAAAAUUCCCCAGCUGAUAUCACUACACAUACCACAAACACGCACUAUUUUAAUCAACUAAAAUAGCCUGGUUCGGUAUUCUAGCAAACAAUCUGUUUCUUUCUAAUGGUGAUGUUUUUGCAAUGCAUCUGAGCAAUUGACACAACAUAAUGGUGUCCCAUAGCAAAUUUUGCCUAGUAAUCCCUCCGUCCCAAAAUAAGUGUCUCAAGUACAUAUUAUAUCCCAUCCAUAUUAUAUUACCUGGAGAGCUCGUGUUUCAUCGUCCAAGAGCUGUUCUUGAACUCUUAAGGGCGCAGUUGAUACCUCCCGAUCUUCAACCUUCGAGACAUCAGAUUUCAAUACAAGGUUUGACUUGGAUGGUUCAGUAGGUUUUAUUUCUGGCUUCUUCUUGAUCUUCUUUCUUGGCAUCACCCUAUUAAUAGCUUCUUGAAAGCGCAGGGACCUAAGGCGAUCAAAUUGUGCAGUUACUGAGUGGAGACGCUCGCUCAAAAUCAAAACCUGGUAAAAUUAUUAAACAAAACACAUCUUAUUGGAAGUGAGCAUAAGAAAAUCUAUAAAGAACAAAGAGGAUAGUCCAGAAAAUAUUACUUAAUUGUAAUACAAAUUGGUAUAGAGAAAUGCUAUUAAAAAAUAACAGAGUGAUGUAUUUUCCCACAUGAAGCUUUCUUGAUGCAUAUCUGAACUAGGAAGCAGAGUUCGUUAACAUUCAGUUAGCUGCUUUGACUGGACAAUCUAUCAAGUUAUGAUGCAUUUGUUUUGUCCCACCAAAUGAUACCAACUGAAGGUAUGCAUAUCCUUCUACAGUACUAAUCAGGCAUAAUAUACAGGGCUUAUUCAGUAUAAUCCACCGAAAUAUGUGCACAUAUCAGCUCAGUAAUGCAUGUAUAAUGACUGCCUGGAAUUUCUGAAAUUACAGAGAAAAUUAGCGACUAUACUUAAACGAAACAGAGAGAAAGGGGAGCAAUAGCAUUCUUCUAUAUGUUAGUAUCUAUGUGGUUGCACACACUAAAAAGCAGUAAUAUCAGAGCAAUGCUGUAUUUAACUGUAAAUAUCUGGCAGUAGCUGAACAGCGGGGAGCAUAAUAGUCAUACCACACCAUGCUGGUGAGCUAUCAGGUCCAACCGGGAAGUCUCAUCUCUUGUGCCAAGCCAUGUGUUGGCUCUUCUAUUCCUCUCAUCUUCAAGGAUCCUGUUCUUUAGGAUAUCUAUCUGUUCCUUGCAUGCUUUUACAAAAAUACCAACCUAAUAUAUGUUCAGCAAUCAGCAAAGUAAGAAAUGGAGAAAAGAACUUAGCGAUUACCUAAAUUUACAAGAAUAAACAGUCCUUACCUGUAUGAAUAUAUUGUCAACUCAAUAGUCGAUACAGUAUACAAAGAUACAUACACAACCUAACAAACUGCAUAUAUUUACAGUUUUACAACAAAGAUAAUAAAUAAUUAUGCGUUGCUAUGCUCUGUAACAAAUUAAACCCUAGAUUUCUAAAGUAAUCAAGGAAGAGCUGAGAAAAAACUAUAAUAACAGUGCAAAAGGAAGAUAAGAUGACAAACCGGAACCUCAAAUUUCAACUAGUAAUACAUAUGUGGCAUGUUGCAAAGCUAUUGUCACAAAGAAUCAUCUAGCAACUAGCUCAGUUUAGAAUAAAUACAACAAUCCUCAAACAAGGAGAAAGGGUAAAUCAACAGACAAUGGAGAGUAAGGUUGAAACUUACUUCAUGCUCAAUGUUGUCCCUCUCUUGCUCCGUGGUGCGAUGCAUGUCCACAUAGUCCCUCCUGUGCUUCACUAUAAACUUCUCGAGCUCCCUGAUGCUCUCAAGCUACACCGACAGGACCCAGCAAUUAGACUAGCAGCCUCCCACAAUCUAUCAGGACUCUAAGCUUCGGCUAUUGCUUUCGGUUCCUGUUGCAGUCAAAACAGAAUGGCGAAAGAGCAGAGUUCUACCGUCUUGAUUGCUGCAUUUGUAAACGGAGAUUUGGAUGACGGCUUCCGGAUGAUGAAAGACGACAUGAGCGCGGCCAAUUGCGACUGCGAAAAGAAGAAAUCAAUACAAUGGAUCGUAAAUGAUGAGACUGUUCUUGCGCAGGUGUGCGAGGUGUCAUGUUUGGCAUGUGAGCUCACCUCCGUGUAGCCAUGGGAGAGCGCGGCGACGCGGACGGACUCCUUGAAGUCCUCCGUCCUGUCCCGGACCCUCGACAUCGCCCAGGCAGCGGCGCCCACGGGGCUCCUCCCACCAGAUCCGCGUGCGCUGAAAUUCAAGAGCCGGCUAGGCGCGUCAACCCUGCACCCUCGAGCUGAUAAGGUGAGCAAACCUCGUACGGGAUCUGCGCCGCGGAUCAGCGACGCUCGAGCGCGGCGGCGGGUCGCCGGCGCGUCGGAUCGGGCGGCGAGGUGGGAGGUUUGGUCGAAGGAGAGGGAGCGAAGGAGAGGGAGACAGACAGGGGCGCGAGGAGAGGAGGAAUACGUGUACAGGAGGAGUAUGGCCCACCUGUCAGCGUGACACCGGUUCACUGGCAACUGGGCCCCCGUGGAAACCAGGCUAUCUCGUUCUCACACUCGCCACUCCGCGAGCCGCCGAUCCGUCUCGCGCUCGCCACCUCGCUCCCGCUCUCGAUCGUUCGCUCCGCGACGCGGAAACGGCGAAACCCUAGGGCGGUUAGGCAUGGCCAAGGACGAGAACGGCUCGGCCCCGGAUGGUGCCGGCAAGGAGGAGGGCGAGGCGGCGGCGGCGGCGGCGCGCAGCCGCAGCCGCAGCAAAUCCCUAGAAGCCGCCGAGGAGGAGGAGGGGCGUUCGAAGGGGAGGCGACACCGGGGCCACCAUGGCAAGUCAAAUAGGCGUGGCGAGGAGGAGGAGAGCGAGAGCUCCGACGAGGACUCGGGGGAGCGGCGUAAGCGGCGGAGGAAGGAGAAGGAGCGGCGGCGGCGGAGGAGGAGGAGCCGCAGCGAGAGCUCGGGGUCGGAGUCGGAGUCAGAGUCUGAGUCGUCCUACUCGGGCUCCAGCGCGGAGUCUGAAAGCGAGUCGGAGUCGGAGGAGGAGAGGCGAAGGAGGCGGCGGAGGAGGAGGAAGGAGAAGGAAGAGGAGGAGAGGAGGAGGAGGAGGAAGGAGAAGGAGAAGAGGAAGAGGAAGGAGAAGGAGAGGGAAAAGGAUAAGAAGAAGAAGAAGCGGAAGGAUGAGAAGAAGGAUUUGGGGAAGAAGGCUGCAGUGACCAACUCGUGGGGCAAGUAUGGCAUCAUCCGUGAGGUCGAUAUGUGGUGAGGAUCUUGCUUCUUAGCUCUUUUUUUUCUUGCUUCUAGAUCAUCAUUUCUUAGUUUUAGGUUUUCACAAGCCAAAAUGUAGAAUAUUAUGAAUUAAUUUCUGUCUGGUAGAAUUGUAUGAGACUAUGUUAGUUAAGGAUGAAAGUAUGUCGUGUUACGGUGGUGCUGUGCUUGGCUGCACUGCCCAGCAAUUUUUUUUGCAUCAUGUCCCAGCCUGCAGCAUGCACCUUCUUUUUCGCCUUUGAUGAGUGGAUUCGGUGAGCCUGCAAACUAGAAACAAUUUUGCACAAACCAAUGAAAAUCCCUGAAACUACUGAUGAUUGCGGACUGAUCUUCUCCAGGGCUAGCUAGUAUGUUGAUCUAUCACUGGCCGAAGUGUUAUCUAUCACCUAUUCAUCAUAGAUGAGCACAUCUACACAGUUUGCUACUGCCGCUCAUACACGCUGAUAUAUUGCAUGAAUCAACAAUUCAUCACACCUGGAGUGCAGACUGCAUAAAUACAGAAAGAUGUUCACAAUGAUUAUGUUGUGAAUAAAACAAAAUUUUGUGUCGUUCUCACUAACCAAAAAGUUCAUAAUAGUAACUGAUUCUUGCCGCUAUAUAAAAUCGUAAUAGUGGAGCAAAAUGACAGAUAAAUCACUUGUUUGUUUCUCUAAGCCGUAGCUGGCUUCUUCUUCUCCAAGCUUCCUGGAUUUGCCACCAGGUAGCAUGCAUCAGCCACAAAUUAGAAAAAGAACUCAAGCAAAAGAUGAUCACGGAAGAAAGAAACAUGCUCUUAUUGGAGAGCCCUACCACCUCUAUGUGAGUGCCAUACACCUAGCGAUGAGGCCGCACAACCAUCCAUGCCUGAUGACGAGCCAGUGUGUUACUCGAGGACAAUGUCGAUGGGUGAGUAACCUAAGUCUUUGUCCAAAAGGAUAAUCCUGGAAUUCCGUCCGUCUUCUGGAUAUGGACGCAAAUCUUAUGAUAUGGUGGGAAUCUGUUAUGAUAAUCAUCUGUGCCUUAAACGUAUCCUUAUGCCUGAAAGUUGGAUACUGAUAUGUGUGAGCAGCAGUGGCUCCAUGGAUGGUUGCACCUGCCACUUAACAUAAGCGGCUGUCGCAAAUGUCCAUUUAGCUGUUCCAUGUGGGUUGGGGUGGGGGGUGGGGGGUGGGGGGAGAGUGCCCAUGGGUUGGCCACUGCCACUAGCAACCCUACUGGUAAUUGAUUUAAUUAUGUUUUAAGUAUUUAUCUUGUCAGUUGUUUUAAUAGUGAUAUAUAUGAGAUCUUUGAAUUGUCAUAUGCAAACACCAUUCCACGGCCAAUGCGAGUCAGAAGUAGAAUCAUUCUGUAAUCAUUGAUUUGAUGACAUCAAUUGAUUUAAGUGAUGAAUCCCUGUGACUGAGACCCUGAGUUUAGAGUGCAGACAAUCAAAUUAAUACAUUUUUUAAUGUUUCAACUACUGUACUACAUUCUCAUGAGUUAAACCAUGCAAUAUGUUCUGUAGGAACAAGCGACCAGAGUUCACCGCAUGGUUAUUAGAAGUCAAGCAGGUAUAUGUAUUUCUAUCGCUCUUUUGAUGUUGUCUUUCAUAGAAACAUGGAUAACUUAUGUGCAUGCAAAAAAAGGGGUCAGGGUAAACAAGGUGUAUGCCACUGUUUUACAUGGUGCUAGGCAAAUUAAUUAGCCCCAAAGGAAUAUUUAUCUAGAAAUGAGGACUAGUGUUCUUUCAGUUGAGCUUAUUUAUUGUCUUCAGCAAAAAGUUUCAUCGUCGUGAAGUUUGUUGCUCGUUGGUCGGUGAGUGUUUGGAGCUUAAGUUACCUGACCUAAAAGUUAAGCAAAACACAAUAUUUGUUCUCCCUCCUUUUCUUUUGAUAUGCCCAAUUUAGAGUUUCUUCCAAUUUGUUCUGCCCUAUUGGAUCUUAUUUUGGUUAAGCCCAAUUUCUCUUAUUCUAGUUCUGUUGUCACUUAUCAGGUCACAUAGAGCAGACAAAUGUUAUGUUACUUGAUUGGUACUGCUCAUUAGCUUAGUGUCACGCUCUCAGGCUUUUUACUCUCAAUCUUGUUUAGUGUCUUUCUUGCUUAUGAUGUUACUGUUAAUUUUAGACUUUUUGGUAAUGCGCCCACAGGUUAAUUUGGAGGCACUGGCUAAUUGGGAAGAAAAACAAAUGUUCAAGGAGUAUGUUACUGUGCUGCCAUGAAAUUACUUGAGUUUCUGGAACUUCUAAAAAAUAUCACCCUGGAAUUACUAGAUGUUUAACAUACAUCUUUAUGUCCAUAUCAGAUUCAUGGAAGACCACAACACAGCUACGUUUCCAUCAAAAAAGUACUGCACGUUUCUUUUCAUAGACUGUUAGUGUAUAUACUCCUAUAUUUACUAAUGGAAUUUAUGUUUCUCCCCCUUUGUUCUCUUGUUAGAUAUUAUGACUUGGAUGCUUACCAUCAACGGAUGAUGGAGAAAGAGAAAAGGAAUGGUUUAAAGAAUGCGGGUUCGGUAGCAGUCCGUACAGUAUUUAAUGAUGAGGAAGUGCGACGGUAUGUGGACAUGCACAUAUUUUGGGUCUGUAUACCUGCAAUAACAAAGCAUGGGACACCAUAAAAUGCUUCAGUGUAAAUUACUGAAGUUUACUUUACCUGUAGACCUUUGGUAUUGAACUAUUAAUCGACCUAUGUUCCACUCAUUUUGGGUAAUAGAAUGGUUAUUAAUCGACCUAUGUUCCACUCAUUUUGGGUAAUAGAAUGUUUUUUGUAACCAAUUACUAUGUCACAGUAACUCCAAAUUGUGAGCCUGUUAAGCCAUGCAAUGUUCCACAGAAAGACAAUUACGAAAAUUUUCUGUAUUAAUUGGUUUCAGAGUUUAUUACACCUUUUUUUAUCAUUGGCUUACAGUUUUCUGUAAAAAAAUCAUGCAGGUUAGAACUGUUGCAAGAACGUGAACGCCGAAAGGAGGAAGAAGUGACAGCUCUAAAACGCUCCAUGCAAACUGGAAUGGUUAGAAUAUUGCAUUUUUUUUCUGCUCCUAUUCUCAUCCUUCAGUUUAUCCUCUGAACUUGGAAUUAUCAUUGACAGCAUAGGUUUGACAUGACAGUGCAGGCUGCCCAAUUUUGUUGCAUUGUUAGCAUACAAGUUCUUUCAUGUAUCCUAGAUGUUGUUUAGUCUUCCAUGAAUGAAACGUAGUUGUAAUUCUGUCUUGGGCCCGUACUUUUACUUGGUUACUUGAUGCCAAGUGGCACUAAUUUAUGUUCAUAUUUCUGUUCUGUUGGGAACAUAUGUACUGUUGUGGGCUUGAACCUAUGAGGUUGUGACCUCAACCACUGCCAUGUGCUCGGCCAUUAUGUGUUAUAGGUGCAUCUUCCUGUUUUUUUGAAUCUUCCCUUGUACAAUAGCUGGGAAUCCCCAAGUGUUGCUUUGUAAGGUUUAUCUAAUCCAGGUUUUUUGUUAGGUGUAUGCUACUGAACAUAUGACUGCAGUUGUGUUUAAAUCCUGCUAGACUGUGCACUAUCUUCUGAUGAUACGAUCAGCAAUGGAUUAUUAUGCAGACACCAAACAUUAGCAUGGGUUUACAUGAAAGUCACUUUUUGUUCUAUUAGUUAACCUAUUAUUAAUCUUGUUUUGCUCCCCAUGUCAGGCUCAAGCGAUGAAGCAGCAGUCCCUUCUACGCGAGGAAAUGAUGUUACAGUACAAGUUGGGCAAUUUCGAGGUAAUGACCUCAUUCCAACCCUUACAAAAAUUUCAGUUAGAUGGAAGACGCACGCUACUUAUGCCAAGCUUUUUUUCUUUAUCAGGCCGCAGCUGCAAUCCAGAAAAGGUUGGAUCCUGAUGCGCCCCCUCAAUAGGCGUCUUGUGGACAGACAUACCAUUUUCUCAGAAGUUAUUUCUCAUAGACCUUCAUGAGCAACAUACUGUGAUGUACCGCAGUUUAUUUGCACAAAAAGUAUAUUGAGCUGGCUUGGAAAAUGCUGGUACUGUACCUGUACUGUAUAAUUUUGAAAAUUUUGCUCGUUAGAUUCAACAAGUUGUGAUGUAUGCACCAGUUUGGUACAUUGAGCUGUAAGAUUUCUCGAAGUUUUUCUAUUACUGUUCCAUAGGCACCUCAUUGUCUUUUUUUAUAUAUAUAUUUGAAUUCAUAGGCAUCUCAUUGUUUGUCGCCUGGUGUGGCAACUCGUGUCAGUGACUCAUGAGUUGGGGCUUUCAGUGAUUCGUAGCCCGGCGCUUUAACCCGUAGGCUGUCAGCUUUUAAACUCAACUAGUAUAUUCAUCUACGAGGGUAUGCGCGGGACUCUUGGCUUUUAGUGCUGAGGCAGCAUAGAUUGGCUUGUUUUAACGUUGUGCUAGGUAUGAAGAAUAUUGCAAUGCAAAAAGCAACCACCUUUCUCAUGCGUAAAUAGAGUAAACAGGAAGUGCAUUAGAGAAGCAACAGUGGCUUUUUAUCAUCGAAGUUUCGAGUCUUGCUUCAGAAAUGGUGUAACAGUGAAAGACGCUGUGAACGCCAGAUGAAAUAUUGUUGGCAGGUAGCCAUAUUUCUUUUUCUACGAAACGGACAGAUAGCCAUAUUGAUCAUGGACGCGGUUGUUCUGGUCGCGAGCACACGUGCUCGUGGUAUCUGGGCGGCGGGCAUGUCAUCGAGAUGUGUAGCAUUAAAUUACCGAGGGAACCAGUCGAUCGUUUUUUAAUCGGGGGAACGGAAAAUACGGUAGAGGGAUAUGGCGUACGCCGCGCCGGUGACGGAGCGCGUAGAUCCUGCCGUGACGGGAGGUCAUCAGAGCCGUGGCUCAGGACCGUGUUCUUCUCCUGACCCGUAGCUCAGGAAGUAGUUGGAUUUCCGGCAGGCGGCGGUGCGCAGGCUAGUAAAUGACAAGUGAGACUAAGGCGGAGCUGUCUCCCACCGCUUGCCACACUUGUUUGGAUCUCCAUUGACGACGGGUGAAACCCUGAGCACCGGAGAUCAGUGGGGGUAGGAAUACAGGGCGGCGCUAUCCGUAUGGAGUUCCUGAUGCAGCCCAUUAGGAGGUAACCCCCCUUCCCCGAAUCCUGAUUGCGUAUUUUUCUGCUUGUGGAUUUGCAAGGGUUCUGUUUCUUGAUCCAAGUUUUGGCCGAUGCGGGACCGCCGUGAUGGUAGAUGUCAAUGAGAAUGAACUUCCAAUGAAGCCGCUGCACUACCCCGCGGUGGCGAUAGGGAUUGCAGAGCUACCCCCCAUGGAGACAGCCAGCGCCGAUAGGCAGAUGUGUGUGGCGGAAGGGGGGCUCGUAGCAGCGGAUGGGGAUGGUGAGCCACAAGCAUCUGAGCAGGCUGGACUCGCAGGUAAUCUAUUGGCUACUGGUGUUUGGAUUGAAGACUUUUUAUAUGAUUUUAGGUGUACUUGGAGUCGCAUGAACUGACUUGCAGAUCUUACAAAAAAUAGGAAUAGGUAGAUCCUGGAGAAAUUAGAAUAGUUAUAUACAGAUUUCCCCCGAAAGCUAUGUGUGCUUUGGUCCUAGCCUGUUCUGAAGAUACUAUGACCCACUCAUGAUUAACAGAAAACAUAGCAGUGUGGAUGCUUGACUGCAAAACUGAGCUGAAACUUGUAUUUACAUACUUAAAUGCUAAAACAAAAGGCACAACAGUGGCAGUCUGUUUUUGAUUGUACACUGUUUUCAGGUGAAUUAUAAAUUGAAUUAACUGAGUUGCAGAUAGGUUGGUUAGUUGUGCAAGAGAUUUCACUUACAAAAUUCAGAAAAAUGAAACUCGUAGAGAAAUUAAAAUUGUUAUAUAUAAAUUAAGUCGAAACCAGUGCUAGAGCUGCUAGUAGGGACUAGAUGAAUAAAAAGAGGGCAUAACUGUGUUUUUUUUGUGAUGCUUGAUUGUGAUAUGAACGAAUAAAUACCAGACUUCAGUUGGAAAAGCUUUGAAAUAAUCAAGCUUAAUCUGGACAGAAUCGUUGGGGUCAUGACUGGUGAAAAAAUGAAAGUAGAUAACAGGUUGAUUUAUCAUAUUGUAGGGUUAGGAUUGGAGCUGCUGCUCCAGGAAGGGCACCUUGCCCUGGGCGACCCAACGCUCUUGAGAAGGCAAUACGGGGGUUCACUGACAAACCGGGUGACAUUGUAAUCGUGCUUGCACUGGGUACAAGCUUUGACACACUCGGGGAGGCCUAUGAUUUUUCCAAUCUCUACUCGUGGGAGAAGGGAUUUGGAAUAAGAUACAGGAAGAGUAUACUGAAUGUGGAGAGGACAAAAUGCAUGCAGGAAAUUGUUUGCGGCUGUGCGGUACGCAUUUGUACCCAUCAUGGAUUAAUUGUAUUAAUUUUGGUUUGCUCUUGGGGUUUAUGGAACCUGACCCGUUUGUGCUUGUCUGGAUAUGGUUUUGCAGGGUAAAGCUGGGGUGGAGAACAGUAGAUCGUGCCGUGACUGCCCUGCAUUAAUAAGGUAUCUCCGCUCAAAGGCAAUGGUUGGUACAUAGCUGAGCAUCAUGAGCAACACACCCACUCGCUGUCUCCGACAUAUGGGCAGACAACACACUGGCUUUCCCACAAGCACAUUGCUCCUCCACCAUGCCCUUCCCUCAAUCUCCCUAAGCCCUCAUGGCAUUGCCAGCACAUCUCCGUUGAUAUGGACGACGACCCACUACCAACCGCAACGACACAAGGCUGUAGAUCGGCAGCCGGUUGUUGAUAGGCUAUCAGAACUGGCAAGAAGUGUUCCAUCUCACAUUUUCGGCAUCUUCGUGGUUCCUUCUCCAAGAUUUGCCUCCCAGGCAUCAAAUCGACAGCUUUGGAUUGCCGGGGCCGCGUUCGCUUGCACCUUAGUUGGAUCUAUGUUUGCUUGCUAGACCAGGGAUCUCCACCCCUUACUUCACAUAUGAUUCUCCUACCCUGGGGGCAGCAGUCAUUCUGUCCUCUCUGUUUUCUCAUGUUUUCAAAGGGGAACUUGGUUUCACCAAUCUACAAGUUGGAGGAAGCUCACUGACUACCGUUCUCCUAUUUUAUGAAAUGUCAAGCAAUUCAGUGAAUAGUGAUCACCCCUGAAAUGACUAGGCACUCCAUGAGUUUUUUUUUCUGUUUUCAGAAAACCAACCUGUAGAACUAACAACAUUCUUUUCUAUCAGCUAUAUAGAGAACAGUAUGGCAUUCAGCCAUGGAGGUGCACGCACCAAAACUGUCCCCUUUUGCAACUUCAUCUCUAUUGGAAAUGCUAACACAAAAGGUCUAGGUGAAUUUGAGAUCCUUUUAGCUCUGAUGCAUUUUCCCCUACUUUCAGUAGUUAAAUCAUUAGCCUUGACCUUGUCAUCCUAUGGACGUAGAAAUUAAUUCAACUCUCUAAGUACAGGUACUUUUCUAUGUUACUUUUCUACCUGACCAUAUUAUUUUAUAUGAUGCUUGCAAGAUGAUCUUCUAAUAUGUUUAUUCAGUGAGGCUCCCACUCAUAACCUGAGUUGUUAUUGUAUUGGUGCCCUGCAAUGAUGUUAAAUCGAGCAACGUAAAUGAAUAUGUCCACUAUGUGGUACUCUUAUUCUUUGCUACUUGUUCACAAAUUGUUUGAUUGAUGCUUGAUGGAAAAAGCUAUUGUUCCUGGACUGAAUGAAGCUGAGAUAUUAUCAUAACUUAAACUUAUAUCAGUGAGAUGUAUAGAAAUUUAAAUGCUAAUUUAGUAAUUAUUUAUUUCUUGUGAUAUUGACAUGCCUUCUCUGAUUCUAAUCUGCAUGAAGUGUGAUACAAGCAUGGUGUUUCCAAUUGUAUGAGUGCUCUGAAGCAACAAUUAGGUAGCUGGAGGUGGAGGCAAAGAGUUCACUCCAAUUAGUUGUCACAGUUCGCCAUUUUGUACAUCUAGAGCUCUCUUAAUAUUGGAACAAUAUAUAUGUGGAUAGCUCUUGUUGUGACCUUGUUUGCUCACCAUUGUCUUUGAAUCGACUAUGAAUUAGAAUGCAUAACUAAGCAUGAUGAUAGUGAUGCUGAAUUUAUUACAUUAGAAGAUAUAUAGGCUCGUGAUAACUGAAUAUGGAUGGCUGAAUAACAGACGGUUACUCACUUUAGUUUGUGACUUGAAAUAUAUCUCACGCAUUGCACAAAACCUUGCAUCUAAUCUAACUAUCAUGUGCCUCUGAAAAUAUAAGAACACUUGACUGCCAUGGGUGUGACUCAUAUCAGUUAGUAUCAAAAUUUAAAUAACUAAUUUACCUUCACAUUUCCAUCUGACUUGGGCUUCAUAUAAUCUGUCAUUUAGUGUUGGGCUGCAUACCUUUUGCAUCAGUACAUAAGAAUUCUGACAUUCUUCGGAUUGAAUUUAUUUCUAAACAUCUAACAGAAGAGCUCAAUGAAAAAUGAAUUCGAUGCAUACAUCUCACUGCAUAAUGAGAAAUUAUGGUCUUUUCAUUGUCUUUGUUUCUGCAUCUUUCUCCAAUUCCCUUAAAAUCUUUCAUGCUACUGUUUGACUAUAACUUUUUCUUUUUCGUUCAGGUGUCACAACAUUAAUUAAGUAACUUUGGUUUGGCCACAAAUGAUGUGCUGAAUUAGCAUUUCUAAGAGAAUGCACUCUAUUAUUUUGGUAUGACUAACUAUAGGAACGAGGUUUCACUAGCAUGAAUAAUUUUUCCUGGUUGAACUACGUGAUUGAAUCCUUACCUGUAGUAGUUGGUUGUACCAUGUAAUUGGAUCUUUAUCAGUAGUAGUAGCAUAACUAAGUCAUGGAGCUCUGUAUUUUGUUACUGGAGAUCUGUUUAUCUGGUUGCUAACUGGUAAUAAUAUCUAAGAUUUUUUUUCCUAUAUACUAUACUUCAUUCACUUCACGAUGUCAAUACGUGCCUGCUACUGAUAGCUUCCGGUUAGUUGUGUUCUUGUGUAUUCUAAGAAUAUAUGAUAUUUACUUCUCUUUUUUGUCUAGUUAAUUUUUGAAAUAAUAUACAGAAACAUUUGCUCAAAUUUAUUGUACAUUUUCUCAAUUGUUAAUCUCUCUGCACAAGCUAUGUGCAUCAACAGGCUUACUGGUUUGUUGGCACCAAAAAAGCGGAAGGAUAUGGGGCAGCCAACAACUAGCUGAGAGAAGGCGCCAACGAGGGGCUCAACAAAUGGACAAGGUUCUGCACGAUAUGUCGCCAGCAGGGACAUAAGAGGACAACCUGCCCGGACCGGGGCCAUAUCCCGAAGCCUGUUCGUAAACCGGUCAGGUGCGCAAACUGUGGCACCGAAUGUCACAGGCGAAACAACUGCAAAAGAGUAUAGGCGAUUUGCGGAUAAACAACAUGUGAGGACCGACCACAAUGUCCCUGCCCAAGCUAUCUGUUUGAUCGUUUCUUUACUGUAGACCAUUGUGUUGUGUAGCUAAGUGUGUGCGGCGAGAAUGUGUUGGAUUUCCUAUAAAAUCUGUCUUGUUUGCAUGCUUGCUGAAUGUAAUGCAAUGCUGAUGGACGUGUUAAUGACUCGUUUCUGAACAAAAUGAAACUCCUCUGCGUGUAUGUUCAAACUGAUACCAGCUUAGAAUGGAUGAUGUCUGUUUCUGAAUUUUUUGUCAGCAUGGGCAUGCAUUCUGAAUUUUUUGACACUAUGCUGAUGUAUUCUGAAUUUUUUGACAAGAUGAUCACGCAUUCUUAUUUUUUUUGUCAGUACGGGCGUGCAUACUGAAUUUUUGACUGAAUGCUUGUGCAAACAGAGUGGCGAGCAUAAUCUUGUUUGAGCUGACUUAUAUAUUCAAACAACUGUAUUGCAAGCAUGGUUCCUGUUACGGUGGUACCUGAAAUUUAAAACUGAGGUAAUCCAGCUAUGUUUGCCUGCUGGAAUGGGGCACGGGAUUGAAAGCUAGGCACGUAGCAGUGUGCAUCUGUGACAAGUGCAUGCAUCUGUGAGGUCGCGCACCCAGUACACUCUGGAUCCUAUUCGAAAUUCAAACUGCACAAGCGUUAGUCCAGAAUCUGCAAGCUGACGGCCCACCCCGUUACAGACCGGCUGAGCCGAAGCCCAUUUGGUUGACGUCGUAGCAGUGGCCGUUUGACAGAAGUGGGCCAGUGGAACUGUUCGUCAAUAGAUAUACGAGAGAAAUACUUGGGCCUGUUCGCAUCAGCUUGUGGAUCACGAGGACAACGGGCGGGAGGGAUACCGCGAGCAGGUGUGCUCGCGCUCAGAAGAUCACUUUCGUAUUGAUCAUCUCAUAACGUUGGGCGGAAAAAGACCAAAGCGUCUCAACUACACAUAUAUGAUCUUUCUUUUUUGGAUCUAUCAGAAAUUCACCAUAAACUUGAGGUAAGGAGGAAGAACAAGAAGGAGAAAUAAUAAUAAUAAACAAGGGAAUAUAAGAAGGCUAAAUAUAAGCCUAUGCUGACAGGCGAAUUUUCACAUGCAUCAAAAGUUGCCUCAAAACAGAUCCAACAAACCAAAUCACAACCACAACCGAGAAAAAGAGAGCGAGGCCAGACGGCUAUCCUAUCAGGCAGUACUACAUGAAGCAACUAUUGGACUGGAGCGAAGGGAAGCAGACGGCCGGGGUGAUGCGAUGGAUGGAUCGAUCAGCGCUUGAUGGCCUUGACCUUGUUCCACGUCUUCUUGCCGAAGUCGCCGACGACCCUGACGCCCUUGAGCACCGCCACCUUCACCUCCAUGGUCCGCUCCUUCACCUGCCGCUGGAACCCUCCCAUCUCUCUUCUCUUCCCUUCUCUUCUCUUCUCUUCUUGGUCGGAGAGGAUUCGUGUGGCUCGCUGGAGGAGACAAAGAAGACGAUGGUGAUUGGCGAUUUGCCGGGUUGGGUGGCGAAAAUGUCGUGCGGAUGGUGGUGGGCUAGCACUGGGGAUAUAUAGCCGGUGCGGGUUUGCGUGUAGACCUGAACCAGAUGGCGGAGGCUGAGCUGUAAAGUAUGGGGUGUGGUGUACCUGCGGGCUGCGGCGGCGGUUGAAGGAUGGAUUGCCAGGGAACCAGCUUGAAUCACAAGUCACACACACAAAAAAAAAGCCACAAACAGAAGGAGCGUAGUAGCAGUUGGGGUGGGGAGAGGAUCUGUG